GACGAACGCUGGCGGCGUGCUUAACACAUGCAAGUCGAACGGUGACGGAGAGCUUGCUCUCCUGAUCAGUGGCGAACGGGUGAGUAACACGUGGGCAACCUGCCCCAGACUUCGGGAUAACGCUUCGAAAGAGGUGCUAAUACCGGAUACGAACUCCUUGGGCAUCCUUGGAGUUGGAAAGUUUUUCGGUCUGGGGAUGGGCCCGCGGCCUAUCAGCUUGUUGGUGAGGUAACGGCUCACCAAGGCGACGACGGGUAGCCGGCCUGAGAGGGCGACCGGCCACACUGGGACUGAGACACGGCCCAGACUCCUACGGGAGGCAGCAGUGGGGAAUAUUGCGCAAUGGGCGAAAGCCUGACGCAGCAACGCCGCGUGAGGGAUGACGGCCUUC
rnacentral:rRNA from 1 species